rnacentral:tRNA from 1 species
GCUAAUUUAGUGUAUAAGCACAUUGGCCUUUCAUGCCAAAAGAACAUAAUCUUGUACUUAGCC